rnacentral:rRNA from 1 species
UACGUAGGGUGCAAGCGUUGUCCGGAAUUAUUGGGCGUAAAGAGCUCGUAGGCGGUUUGUCGCGUCUGCUGUGAAAACCCGAGGCUCAACCUCGGGCCUGCAGUGGGUACGGGCAGACUAGAGUGCGGUAGGGGAGAUUGGAAUUCCUGGUGUAGCGGUGGAAUGCGCAGAUAUCAGGAGGAACGCCGAUGGCGAAGGCAGAUCUCUGGGCCGUAACUGACGCUGAGGAGCGAAAGCAUGGGGAGCGAACAGG